GAUGAGCGCUGGCGGCGUGCCUAAUACAUGCAAGUCGAGCGAACGGACGAGAAGCUUGCUUUUCUGAUGUUAGCGGCGGACGGGUGAGUAACACGUGGAUAACCUACCUAUAAGACUGGGGUAACUUCGGGAAACCGGAGCUAAUACCGGAUAAUAUUUUGAACCGCAUGGUUCAAAAGUGAAAGACGGUCUUGCUGUCACUUAUAGAUGGAUCCGCGCUGCAUUAGCUAGUUGGUAAGGUAACGGCUUACCAAGGCAACGAUGCAUAGCCGACCUGAGAGGGUGAUCGGCCACACUGGAACUGAGACACGGUCCAGACUCCUACGGGAGGCAGCAGUAGGGAAUCUUCCGCAAUGGGCGAAAGCCUGACGGAGCAACGCCGCGUGAGUGAUGAAGGUCUUCGGAUCGUAAAACUCUGUUAUUAGGGAAGAACAUAUGUGUAAGUAACUGUGCACAUCUUGACGGUACCUAAUCAGAAAGCCACGGCUAACUACGUG
rnacentral:rRNA from 1 species